rnacentral:rRNA from 1 species
UACGAAGGGGGCAAGCGUUGUUCGGAAUCACUGGGCGUAAAGCGCACGUAGGCGGGUCCUUAAGUCAGGGGUGAAAUCCCGGAGCUCAACUCCGGAACUGCCUUUGAUACUGGGGAUCUUGAGUCCGGAAGAGGUGAGUGGAACUCCGAGUGUAGAGGUGAAAUUCGUAGAUAUUAGGAAGAACACCAGUGGCGAAGGCGGCUCACUGGCCCGGUACUGACGCUGAGGCGCGAAAGCGUGGGGAGCAAACAGG